rnacentral:tRNA from 1 species
AGGAGUGUAGCUCAAUGGUAGAGCACCGGUCUCCAAAACCGGGGGUUGCGGGUUCAAGUCCUGUCUCUCCUGCCA